rnacentral:rRNA from 1 species
GAUGAACGCUGGCGGCGUGCCUAAUACAUGCAAGUCGAGCGAACGGACGAGAAGCUUGCUUCUCUGAUGUUAGCGGCGGACGGGUGAGUAACACGUGGAUAACCUACCUAUAAGACUGGGAUAACUUCGGGAAACCGGAGCUAAUACCGGAUAAUAUUUUGAACCGCAUGGUUCAAAAGUGAAAGACGGUCUUGCUGUCACUUAUAGAUGGAUCCGCGCUGCAUUAGCUAGUUGGUAAGGUAACGGCUUACCAAGGCAACGAUGCAUAGCCGACCUGAGAGGGUGAUCGGCCACACUGGAACUGAGACACGGUCCAGACUCCUACGGGAGGCAGCAGUAGGGAAUCUUCCGCAAUGGGCGAAAGCCUGACGGAGCAACGCCGCGUGAGUGAUGAAGGUCUUCGGAUCGUAAAACUCUGUUAUUAGGGAAGAACAUAUGUGUAAGUAACUGUGCACAUCUUGACGGUACCUAAUCAGAAAGCCACGGCUAACUACGUGCCAGCAGCCGCGGUAAUACGUAGGUGGCAAGCGUUAUCCGGAAUUAUUGGGCGUAAAGCGCGCGUAGGCGGUUUUUUAAGUCUGAUGUGAAAGCCCACGGCUCAACCGUGGAGGGUCAUUGGAAACUGGAAAACUUGAGUGCAGAAGAGGAAAGUGGAAUUCCAUGUGUAGCGGUGAAAUGCGCAGAGAUAUGGAGGAACACCAGUGGCGAAGGCGACUUUCUGGUCUGUAACUGACGCUGAUGUGCGAAAGCGUGGGGAUCAAACAGGAUUAGAUACCCUGGUAGUCCACGCCGUAAACGAUGAGUGCUAAGUGUUAGGGGGUUUCCGCCCCUUAGUGCUGCAGCUAACGCAUUAAGCACUCCGCCUGGGGAGUACGACCACAAGGUUGAAACUCAAAGGAAUUGACGGGGACCCGCACAAGCGGUGGAGCAUGUGGUUUAAUUCGAAGCAACGCGAAGAACCUUACCAAAUCUUGACAUCCUUUGACAACUCUAGAGAUAGAGCCUUCCCCUUCGGGGGACAAAGUGACAGGUGGUGCAUGGUUGUCGUCAGCUCGUGUCGUGAGAUGUUGGGUUAAGUCCCGCAACGAGCGCAACCCUUAAGCUUAGUUGCCAUCAUUAAGUUGGGCACUCUAAGUUGACUGCCGGUGACAAACCGGAGGAAGGUGGGGAUGACGUCAAAUCAUCAUGCCCCUUAUGAUUUGGGCUACACACGUGCUACAAUGGACAAUACAAAGGGCAGCGAAACCGCGAGGUCAAGCAAAUCCCAUAAAGUUGUUCUCAGUUCGGAUUGUAGUCUGCAACUCGACUACAUGAAGCUGGAAUCGCUAGUAAUCGUAGAUCAGCAUGCUACGGUGAAUACGUUCCCGGGUCU